rnacentral:rRNA from 1 species
AGCAGCCGCGGUAAUUCCAGCUCCAAUAGCGUAUAUUAAAGUUGUUGCAGUUAAAAAGCUCGUAGUUGAAUUUCGGGGUUAGUAGGCUGGUCGUGCCACAGGUAUGCACUGGUCUUACUGACUUCUCCUUUCUGGAGAACUGUAAUGCCAUUAAUUUGGUGUUGCAGGGAAACAGGACUGUUACUUUGAAAAAAUUAGAGUGUUUAAAGCAGGCUAACGCUUGAAUACAUUAGCAUGGAAUAAUGAAAUAGGACGUUCGAUCCUAUUUUGUUGGUUUCUAGGAUUGACGUAAUGAUUAAUAGGGAUAGUUGGGGGCAUUAGUAUUCAAUUGUCAGAGGUGAAAUUCUUGGAUUUAUUGAAGACUAACUACUGCGAAAGCAUUUGCCAAGGAUGUUUUCAUUAAUCAAGAACGAAAGUUAGGGGAUCGAAGACGAUCAGAUACCGUCGUAG